rnacentral:misc_RNA from 1 species
GAUGAAGAACGUAGCGAAAUGCGAUAAGUAAUGUGAAUUGCAGAAUUCCGUGAAUCAUCGAAUCUUUGAACGCACAUUGCGCCCCCUGGUAUUCCGGGGGGCAUGCCUGUCCGAGCGUCAUUGCAACCUUCAAGCGCGGCUUGUGUGUUGGGUCUCGUCCCCCGUGGACGGGCCCGAAAGGCAGUGGCGGCGUCCCGACAUGGUGCCCGAGCGUAUGGGAAUCCUCUUCCGCUCGAAUCGGCCCAUGCGGCGCUGGUCGUAAUCAAAUUUUUUACCGGUUGACCUCGGAUCAGGUAGGGAUACCCGCUGAACUUAAGCAUAUCAAUAAGCGGAGGA